rnacentral:tRNA from 1 species
ACCCAGCUGGCUCAGUUGGUGGAGCAUGUGACUCUUGAUCUCAGGUUUGUGAGUUUGAGCCCCACAUUGGAUG